rnacentral:rRNA from 1 species
GAACUCUGGUAUUGAUUGGUGCUUGCAUCAUGAUUUACAUUUGAGUGAGUGGCGAACUGGUGAGUAACACGUGGGAAACCUGCCCAGAAGCGGGGGAUAACACCUGGAAACAGAUGCUAAUACCGCAUAACAACUUGGACCGCAUGGUCCGAGUUUGAAAGAUGGCUUCGGCUAUCACUUUUGGAUGGUCCCGCGGCGUAUUAGCUAGAUGGUGGGGUAACGGCUCACCAUGGCAAUGAUACGUAGCCGACCUGAGAGGGUAAUCGGCCACAUUGGGACUGAGACACGGCCCAAACUCCUACGGGAGGCAGCAGUAGGGAAUCUUCCACAAUGGACGAAAGUCUGAUGGAGCAACGCCGCGUGAGUGAAGAAGGGUUUCGGCUCGUAAAACUCUGUUGUUAAAGAAGAACAUAUCUGAGAGUAACUGUUCAGGUAUUGACGGUAUUUAACCAGAAAGCCACGGCUAACUACGUGCCAGCAGCCGCGGUAAUACGUAGGUGGCAAGCGUUGUCCGGAUUUAUUGGGCGUAAAGCGAGCGCAGGCGGUUUUUUAAGUCUGAUGUGAAAGCCUUCGGCUCAACCGAAGAAGUGCAUCGGAAACUGGGAAACUUGAGUGCAGAAGAGGACAGUGGAACUCCAUGUGUAGCGGUGAAAUGCGUAGAUAUAUGGAAGAACACCAGUGGCGAAGGCGGCUGUCUGGUCUGUAACUGACGCUGAGGCUCGAAAGUAUGGGUAGCAAACAGGAUUAGAUACCCUGGUAGUCCAUACCGUAAACGAUGAAUGCUAAGUGUUGGAGGGUUUCCGCCCUUCAGUGCUGCAGCUA